rnacentral:rRNA from 1 species
CCUACGGGUGGCAGCAGUGGGGAAUCUUGCACAAUGGGCGGAAGCCUGAUGCAGCGACGCCGCGUGCGGGACGAAGGCCUUCGGGCUGUAAACCGCUUUCAGCAGGGACGAGGCGAAAGUGACGGUACCUGCAGAAGAAGCCCCGGCUAACUACGUGCCAGCAGCCGCGGUAAUACGUAGGGGGCAAGCGUUAUCCGGAUUCAUUGGGCGUAAAGCGCGCGUAGGCGGCCAGCCUGGUCGGGAGUCAAAUCCGGGGGCUCAGCCCCCGUCAGCUCCCGAUACCGGCCGGCUUGAGUCUGGCAGGGGAAGGCGGAAUUCCCGGUGUAGCGGUGGAAUGCGCAGAUAUCGGGAAGAACACCGGUGGCGAAGGCGGCCUUCUGGGCCACGACUGACGCUGAGGCGCGAAAGCUAGGGGAGCGAACAGGAUUAGAUACCCUGGUAGUC